rnacentral:lncRNA from 1 species
UGAGGAAUCAUUCACAGAAGUAAUUUAAUAAUGUUAACUGACAAACAAUUGACUUACUAAUAAGAGAUUACAUACGAAAGUUUAACAACAUUAACAUGAGCAGGUUCACAAAUACGACAAUAAUGAUACAAACGAAUCAUCCUGGAUAGCACGUAGUACACUUCCCAAUCAUUGAAGGAACAUUAGUACUUAAGGGCUUGGCAGAGGUGGCAAUGGUAUUGGCAACUGUGGCAGAGGUAGCUGAGGUUUGGGAAGUUGUGGCAUAGGUAAUGGCAAAUCCGGUUUGGGCAAAGGUGGCAGCUGAGGGUUUGGAAGUUGUGGCUGAGGAAGAUUAGGCAUAGGUAAUGUGGGCAGUCCAGGCUGCGGCAGUGGAAGAUUGGGCAUAGGUAGUGUGGGCAAUCCAGGCUGCGGCAGUGGAAGAUUGGGCAUAGGUAAUGUUGGUAGCUCAGGUUUUGGGAGACCAAUGGGGAGAUCUGGCAAAGUUGCGUCCAGAAGAUGGCGAGCCUCAACUUGAAUUACAUGGCUCCUGAUUGAUGACAAGACAACGAGGAAGAGAAGGUAAAGAGACUGAUGAGCCAUUGUUAUAGCAGACUGUUUCUUGAGCUUUGGUGGAUGAAGAGUGAGGCUUAUAUAGAAAGCAGAGUGUGAAUUUGUUUGGUGGGGAAAAAAUUGGUCUGCUUUAUCAGUAAUAUUAUCAAGAAUAUUUU